AGUGAACGCUGGCGGCGUACCUAAUACAUGCAAGUCGAACGAUGAAGUCCUAGCUUGCUCGGAUGGAUUAGUGGCGCACGGGUGAGUAAUAUAUAGUUAAUCUGCCCUACACAGAGGAACAACAGUUGGAAACGACUGCUAAUACCUCAUACUCCUAUUUGACAUAAGUUAAAUAGGGAAAGUCUUUUCGGUGUAGGAUGAGACUAUAUCGUAUCAGCUAGUUGGUAAGGUAAUGGCUUACCAAGGCUAUGACGCGUAACUGGUCUGAGAGGAUGAUCAGUCACAUUGGAACUGAGACACGGUCCAAACUCCUACGGGAGGCAGCAGUAAGGAAUAUUGCGCAAUGGGGGAAACCCUGACGCAGCAACGCCGCGUGGAGGAUGACACUUUUCGGAGCGUAAACUCCUUUUAUCAGGAAAGAAUAAUGACGGUACCUGAUGAAUAAGCACCGGCUAACUCCGUG
rnacentral:rRNA from 1 species